GCACCCUGUUAAAUUUGUAUAUUGUUUAUUUUGUGAUUUGUUAACUGAUAAAAUGUAUAUACUGAAAAAUGGGCCAAUUUAAUUGUUCUCUGUGAAAAAACAUUUUUUUUGUUAUUAAUAUUAAAUAUUAAUUCAUAUUGGUUAUUGAGUUAUAAGGUUAUGAGAUGUUGAAAUAUCCGCUUUUGUGAGUAACUUUUACACCCACUGUCAUUUUGUGUUGUAUUGGGUGGUGAGGUGUCAGUUUCUUUGUUAUCAAAUGAGUGCCAUCCAGAGAGCAGUAUGGUAACCUAUCAGAUUAUUGUGGGGGCGGGACUAAAAGAGAAAACAGAGAGAGACCAAAAAAAAGAGACGCAGAGAUGGCGAGAGAGAGUUGAAAGUUUUGUACGAUCGAUAACAUUACUGGUUAUCAAAGUGAGAACGAGGGAUUAUUUGUUUUCAGAGUUUUAUUGUUUGUGUUUUAAUCCUGGUAAAACGGGAGAGUGGGUGUUGUUUUGGAGCUGGUUAAAUCGGCCAUGAAAACUCUAUCGAAGCGGAGGUAACGUUAUAUCAUGUCAUAGCAUGUGCGAACUGUUACCCUAUAGCCAUGUGCGAAUUGCUAUGUUAUAGAUAAAAACCCCAUUUUGCCACCGAGUUUCUGAUGUGCAUCGGAUGCUGCUGACAUUGUUGCGACAGUAGAUGUGCUCAGGAUUCGCGCUGUAGGCCGGGGGUGUCUGUCUUUUGCACGUGGAUGAGACGGAGCUUCAGGACGGGUUUCUUCAUUGCGUAUUUCGCCGGAUGGAACAGUUUGGAUAGACGGUCACUAUAAUCUUUCUGUUACCAAGGAAUCGUGAGUACAGACAAUAUUCAGUGGAAAACAUUUCAACUGAGCUCCAACAAGCGCGCCAACGCUGUGGUACCACCAAAAACAAAACACAAACCCCGGGGUAUUGUUCAGUCAUUUCAUGUUAAUUGUGAUGAUGUGUUAAAAAGAUAACUCACACAGUUCUGAAAAUGAAUAUAAAUACGUUUCAAGUUUAACAUUCAA